AGGAGGAACAACCCCAGUGGCGGCGGCAGCUCUGGAGCCCUGGAUUCAGCCCCCGCAGGAACUCCGGAGCUCUCCGUCUGCAGGGCCUGGAGGCUCUGGGGCGGG
rnacentral:pre_miRNA from 1 species